rnacentral:lncRNA from 1 species
CCAUUCCCCUGGCUCAGCCUAUCGAGUAGCUGGGACUACAGGUUCCACUUCCCACAACACCUCUGCCACCAACCAAUUGAGGGUCUUCAGGAGAAGUGUUCUUAUCUGUGCAAUAGAGCCUGCCAGAAGGGGCACCUGGCAACCCUCUUCAGAGGCUUGAUCCUGUGCUGCAGAAACCUAUGGACCUGCUCAACCUGUGCACUGGAAUUCCAGGGAUAGACUGAGCUGUCCCUAGGAGGCUGGGAGCAUUCUCCAGCAGAGACCAGCAACUGCCUCCUGCCUGGAGAAUCUGGAAGGAGGAAGGGCGGCUGGAAUCACCUGUGAUGGCAAGUGAGGGAGAGAGGGCAGACAAAGGUAGCAAAACUGCACUCCUAGGACUUGGAAUGGCAAGGACUCCAGUGUGUCAGAGAAGACAGGAAGACCAAGAAACAGCCAAGGAGAGGGGCUGAGGAAUGAGAGAUGGAGGAGACAACAGAUUGUCCUUCCCAUUGCCAAACCUUAGGCCGGGCCUGAGGGGAUCAGACUGGGCAAUUGAAUCCUCAAAGGUUCCUGGAAGGACUACUUAGGAAUUGAAUGUGCUGAGACUUCCUCUCAAAGGAGCCCCUCCUUCUUAAAUGAAUCCAGGAGAGAAGUUCUGAAGACUGUGGUCUAUGCUAAAGGAAUGCAGAUAUUUAUAAAUGGUCAUCUGCAUUGAAUGAACCAAGUCCAAAUGACAAUCAAGGAGAACUGUAAACAUAGGAAAAGAGGGCUGAACCCAUGCUUCCAGGGAAGGAAGAAGAGAGAGAGAAAGAGAAGAGAAGAGAGAGAGAGAGAGACUGACUUCUGGAAUCAAUCAAGGGAAGUCUGGAAAUGGUGGAUGAAUGGAACAGAAAUCCCCAAGCCAAGUGUGAACAGGUGACAGGCCUCUCUAGGGCCAAGGGGCUAGACUCUGUAGCCAAGCAUUGAGCACCAAAUGUGAACAUGAUAGAGUUGUCAGUCAGAAGAAACUGCUUGCCUAUUGUCUAGUAAGCUGCACCUUGAACAACCAGCUGGAGUGGUGGUUCUGGAGUAGCUGCCUCUUCUGGUCUGGAAUGCAUAUAAACACCACGAAAAAGGCCCAGAGCUGGGCUGGCAAGGGGUCUUUCCCUGGGGAGAGCAGACCACCCACACCUUUUGGGAGACUACUUUAGGCUCAUCCAGGAGGCCUUUUGAUGUGUCUGUUAUACUGAAGAUAGUGUUUUGAGGUCCCCAAUCUUUCUUUAUGUUGUUGGCUGUCAUAUAAAAAACAAACAUCAGGAGAGAGAACAACUGUUUUAACUCAAGUAAUAGCUUAAGACUAAAAAUGAAAUAAAUUCAGGGUUAUUAACAAGAAUCUAUCAGAUCUUCUGCUAAAAGAGAAAAAAAGAGAGAGAGAGAAAGAGAAGGAGAAGGGGAAAGUGGGGGAAGGGAGAGAAGAAGAGAGGG